GUGCUUGCUUUGGCAGCACCUACACUGCAAUGGGAAAGGGACAGAGAAGAUUAGCAUGGCUGCUGUGUAAGGAUGACAUGCAAAUUCAUGAAGGAUUCCAUAAUUUU